rnacentral:rRNA from 1 species
CACGUAGGGCUUAAGCGUUGUCCGGAAUUAUUGGGCGUAAAGAGCUCGUAGGCGGUCUGUUGCGUCCGCUGUGAAAACUCGGGGCUUAACCCCGAGCCUGCAGUGGAUACGGGCAGACUAGAGGUAGGUAGGGGAGAAUGGAAUUCCCGGUGUAGCGGUGAAAUGCGCAGAUAUCGGGAGGAACACCGGUGGCGAAGGCGGUUCUCUGGGCCUUACCUGACGCUGAGGAGCGAAAGCGUGGGGAGCGAACAGG